UGCCAGAGAGAGCACAGGUUUAAUGUUAACACUAAGGUCGCCCAGACUGAGUUGUUAGUUUUAUCAAUCCUGUUGUAGCGGAUAUUAGAUUGAUCACGGUGUGGUCACCACGAGGAUUAUUGUCGAUGUAAAGUCCAGGGAUGUGGAACGGGAUGUGGAACGACAACUAUUUUAUUGUGGGAAGGAUCGGCGGGAGAUGAGGCGUUAGAUGAGUCGGAGGUUUGCUCUCGGGAAUGCAAGUUCCUUUUUUGUCGAGGAUUUUCGUUGGAACGAAUUCCUUUAGAAUUCGACGUGGAAGCCCAAGUUUGCAAGUCGCAAGCACUUUUUGAGAGCGUGUUGUAAGUGCUACUUCUGUCGAGCGGCAGAACAUUGGCCGACAACUUCACUCAUGCACGUAGUAUGUAUUCAUGUCUACAGUGUGAUAUGUGCACUGGAAUGGUGCUUGUAGUGCCAAUCAGUGUGAUGUGUCAAGGCAUCUCCGUCUGGGGUAUGUGAUUGAGAAUAUUGUUUCUAUCGGCGAAGAAAAGAACUACACUCAACCAUGCAUCCUGUCAAUUACACCGUGAAAUUGAAGUAUCCUAUUCAGCUUCUACGGAGGCCCUUGCAGUUUUGCGAGAACCGAGCGUGCUAAAGGAAGAUUUAAAGAGUGAAGACUAACUGAAGCAGAUAUUCAGAGGAGCGAGAGGCAACAGAAACCGAUGUGCUUCUAUUUCACACGGGGGUUGAGCACACUGGUACUCCACCUGUCUUCCAGCUAGUCAUUUCAUUUGUGUCUUUUGGAACUUAUUUUGGCACGUCCUCGGAUCUCCUUCCUCUUAAAAUAAAACUGUAAAUCCUACACCUCGUGCCCCUUAUAGUCAUUGUGCUAAGACUGAUGCAGAAUAAUUCCGACACAUCCAAACCUUGUUUAAGAAACCCCUGAAAUUAAGCGGCGCUGCUGAAACAAGGUAUUGGAACCGCGGUUCAAUGGUAUGUACCGGGGAUCAACACUGAGCUUGUAGAGAGUAUAACAUAUGGCACUGUACAGAUUAUGUGAUAUGCUCAGAGCACUUGGGAGUUGUUUCGGAGUGGACGGUGGUUGUGGGGCACUGUUAGAAAGAUUGUUCAAAAUGAUCGUGACCAAACACACUUCGCUAAGGUUUAUGCAUUCGGUCUGCGCCUUAGUGUUUGUGUGGUGUAUACUGGAUUUAACCGAUCGGAAACUAACAAAGAUGCAUUGGUGCCUUUAUUCAA